rnacentral:rRNA from 1 species
AAGAAUGACGGGCGAUAUGUACGAGCUAUUGCUUAUUCUAAGUGUGAUGCUCUCUACACUUAUACUUCUAAGUUCUUUUUUCAUUUUUGCUCUGACAAUUUCCAUUUUUCUAAAGGUACCCCAUUCUUUCUUUUAUGUCUGUCUUGAUUUGUUUUAAAAAUCGUUUAUUUUAUUAAGUUUUUAUUUAACUUAACAACAAUGAUAUGAAGAAUUUAUUAGAGUAAAUUUUAUCGUGGGUAAUCGAUCAUAAUACAGGAUUCCCUAGCUAGGUAAGCUACCGCCAACGCAAUUAGAUUUUGUUUAUUUAACUACUAUCUUUAAUUUUAU